GCCAUAGUUCAAUGGUAGAGCAUCUGUUUUGUAUAUGGAUGGUCCCAGGUUCAAGGCCCAGCAUCUCCA